GUCAUCUAUGCACUUCUUCUGCUUAUCCAUAUGUUUCCUGCUAGGCUAAUACUCCACUGUUUCAGAGUCACAAUAGGAUAAAUCUCAUUUCACAUUUCAUGACACUUAUUAGUCUAACCAGAUGGGGAGCAUAAUCUUCUGUAGAAUUUCAUUUUUCUUUAAACAAUUCAAGGACAUAUUGUGCUUUCAAAUAUAAGAAAUAUGUGCUUCCUGAUCAAGCAGUUUACAAAGUUUUACCUUUGCCCUUCAUACUUGAGUUGAUUAUGGCAUCUAUGAUCUUUCUUAGAACAGUUUACACCCAGUAUGGGAACUUAAUAAAAAUUGGUCUUCCUUAUGGCAGUAACGGUUAUGACUCCAGGUUAUAUGGUCGAUGGGGUCUUGGUAUGGACAACAGGUACAUUGUCUUAAGUGGCACAUUGUCAAGAAAACUAUUGUGUUCUCAAAUCAGUCUAUGGAAACAUACUCCACACAAGCUAUGUUCUCAAAUCAGUACUCCACACAAGUCUAGAUUUGCUUAAACACAGUAAUACUCCACACUAUUAACAUUACAACACAAUAAUAUCACGCUCAACCAUAAAGAGCUAGAUUUGCUAGUGCACUAUCAUAGAGAUCUUUAUCACAUGACAAUCGAUGAGGUAGCCUCCCUUCUCUUUCUAGCCUUUUCUUGUUCAUAUGUGGAUUUUUGUACCUAUUUCCUCCUCCAAUCUUCAUCACCUCCUUCAUGCACAUCUGGAGACUUAGGAACACUAUUUAGAUUUUCCACAUCAUAUGCUUCAUACUCUUCCUCCACACCUUGAAUUAGCUCUUCAAUAGUUGUAGGGUUUCUGGAAUCAGUUAAAGACUGGAGGGAUCUAAAGAAACCUAGGUCUAGUACAUUCAUGUCUGGGGAGUUAGGUGGUUGUUGCAUCAAUCGGAUAUCUAGCCCUGUAGCCACCACAGCUUGAAGGAAGGCUGGGUCAUUUAGACUAACAUGUGUUCUUGCGUUGUCCUGUUGGAUGUAAAUAGUCUCAUGAAUAGCAUCCUGCGGCCACACUGAUUUGAUUGCUGGGAUAACUUUUUCAAUUAGAUAUUGCCUCAUCACCUCCCUGUUGACUAUGAUUGACUUUGUUUCCAAGGUUCCUCUCUCCCUAUUAUGGCUCCUUCUAGCUGCAGGCACCUCUUUUACAAAUGCCCAUACACCAAUCUUUCCAGAAAAUGUCACAAUCCCUUCAGCAUUACGUCUAGGCCUCGCCACAACUGUCAGAAGCAUGACUUUGCCAAUGCUAUUCUUGUUCUGAAUAGUACGUUCAGGGUCAUCUUCUUCUGGUAGGAGGUAGUAUUUCCUUGUUUUUUUGGUCAUAUAAUACCAUUUCUCAUCCAUGUGGAGUAUAUUUUGCAUGUCAAUGAAUUUAGGUUGAGCAUCCCCUAGAGUUUCCUUAUCUAUCAUUGAAAUGCAAAACUGGAGCCUCUCCCUCUUAUUUCUCUCUUUCAAGUGUGGCUUCAAUGUAUUGGAGUGGCAUCUUAUCAAGCCUAACUUGAACUUCCUGUGUAAUGUCGAAAUACCAACUUCUAGUGACUUAGCUAGUGAUCUUAAGGUGGAUCUUCUAUUUAGUGGGAUUGUGGCCAUUCUAGAGAGCUCAAGUUCAACUUUCUUGCGACCGCAUCGGCCAGUUCUUUUGUUAGACACAUCAAUUUCCAGCCCAAGUGCAAUUUGCUCCCUUGCAGUCUUCCAAAUCUUUUGAAUAACUCAAAUUUGUAUCUGAAAGAAUGCAGCAACUUCCUUUGUUGUAGUCUUUGGUAAUUUCCCAUUUUUACUCUUUGCAUGCAAUGAUGUGUAAGCAGCAUAUCUUUGGGCAUUUGUUAGACAUUUUCUUAACCUCACUGUGGUUGUUGCACACCUGCAAGGAGUAGCAAGUUUCUUUAGAUGCAUCAAACUAAAAAACAAAUAUAUAUGUUGCAUUUAUGAAUCUAUGUCUCUUACUCCAUGUUUAUCUCUAUUCAAAUGUCUGAUAAAUAUCUAAUGAAUAUGUGUCUUAUACUCAUGUUGUACCUGCACCUUCAACGAGAGCAUUGGCUUCUUCAUCUUGAGCAGGAACAAUACCUUCAUCCUGAGCCAUAGCAUCAAUUUCCUCGGCAGCUACAUCCUCAACUUCUCCGGGUAUGAUUUCACCACCUAGUUCUGCUGGGGGAGUAGAGUUGAUAUCCAAAAGAAAACCUACUUCUAGAUGAACACCUACAAGGAGUAGCAAGUUUCUUUAUAUGCAUCAAACUAAAAAACAAAUAUAUAUGUUGCAUUUAUGAAUCUAUGUCUCUUACUCCAUGUUUAUCUCUAUUCAAAUGUCUGAUAAAUAUCUAAUGAAUAUGUGUCUUAUACUCAUGUUGUACCUGCACCUUCAACGAGAACAUUGGCUUCUUCAUCUUGAGCAAGAAUAAUGCCUUCAUCCUGAGCCAUAGCAUCAUUUUCCUCAUCAGCUAUAUCCUCAACUUCUCCAGAUUAUCAAAGUGGGCAAUCAAGGGAUGCGCUAAAUCUCUUGUUCCACAUAUGGCUACUCUAAAUGGAGUAUGGAUCUUGUACCUACAGCUUCAGCGGGAGCAUCAUCUUCCUCAUCAGAUAAUACCUCGCCUCCAGCAGAUAGAUUGAAGCAAGCUCGGGCUGGCCAUAGAUCUCAAGUGUUGGAGCUGCUCGUUUGCUAGAGACACGUCCAGGAGUUUUGCAGAGAUCGCUCGUGUUGGAGCUUGCUUGCUUGGUAGAGGCCGCACAUCCAGGAGCUUGCUUGCCGGAGGUCACGUGUGCAGGAACUUGCUUGCCGGGGAGUCCGGCCGGCCGGCUGGUCGGGAAGCAGCGAUCGACGAGAGGUCGCCGCUUGCGUCUGGAUCGCAGCAGGUGGAGGGUCGAUGGGUUCAAAAUUCAAAUUGCUAGCUAGCGUGUGUUGGGGGGAAUAUUAACGACUUCCUAAUGCCGCUUAAAGCAACAGUCAUGAAGGCCCAGGCCCACCUGCGGUAAUU